CCCUUAAAGUUAGAAUAUUGCAUAUACAUUCUUACUCCAAACUUAUAUAAAAUAUAUUAUAUAUUUCUUUAAAUUUUCAAAUUUAUAAAUAUAUUUCUUAACUAGUCGAAAGACUCAAUAUUUUACUUAAAAGAUUAUUUUGUCCUUAUCUAGCUAAUUUCAUUGUAUUCAUAAAAUUAGACAUUAAAAAUAUUCUAUAAGGAAGGUAAUUAGAUAGAUCAAACGAUCUUGAUUUUCUAAUGAAAAACGAUAGAACAUAAUAUCACCAUUCUAACCAACCGUCAUUGUUGGCCACGAAAAGUUAAAAAAUAGCCUGUUAUAUUUGGUUUAGAUUUAUAGUUAUCUAAUUCUGAGGAUAAAUCCUAAUCUAAUUGGGAUUAGAUAUUAUUUAGAUUUAAUUUGGCAUAUAUGGAUUAUAAUUAGGAGUAUAAUUCUAAUUGAAUUAGAAUUAGACUCUAAUUAGGAGACAUGUAUUAUAUAUACAUGCUACGGCCAAGUUAAUGAAGCCGCGAGAAAAUUAAGCCAUGCAAAAUUAAUUAAGGGGUUGGUGCGGCUGAGACUCUCCUUUGUCCGCUAAUUAAUUAAAGCCUCUUGGAGCAAGAUCCCUCAAGCAUGGUGUUCCGUACGGUCAAGAACUCACCAUGCUAAUUAAUUAAGGAGGAGUGUUGCUAAUUAAUUAAGGAGGAGUGUUUCUUGUAUGCCUGGCGCAUUGGUUUGUCCGUACGGGUUGAGAGAAGUCACUUUUGGAGUUGCUUUGUUGCGGCGAUUCGGAUCUAAUUAAAUUUAUCGGAUUCUUUGAGAGAUCUUCUUGUACUCCGCCUUUUCGACAUUAAUAAAUUAUUUGCUCCGUCUUCGCCCGUGGAUGUAGGCCGUUGGUCGAACCACGUAAAUAUCGGUGUGUUCUUUUCGCUUAUCUUUUCGUUUCCUGCAUUAAAUUAUUUUCUGGAUCUAUUUUUCGCCGUUCCGAUUUUAACAUAGCCAUUAUAUUAAAAAAUAUUGAGUUUUGACUAGUUUGAAAAUAUAUUUAUAAGUUUUUAAAUUUUAUAAGAAAAUAUAAGAUAUUUUAAAGUUUAGAAAAAUAAGUACACAAAAUCUUUGCUUUGCGGGGAAAUAUAUAUGCGAUAAUUCUUAAAAAAACUCAUGAAAUCAACUUGAAAUCAUAUCCAAAGUAAUAAUUAAUUAUGAAGUCAACUUUAAUUAAGUGAAUCGAUUGUAGAGGUCACUUUGUUUCUUUAAUAUAGUUGUAAUUAAACUUUUAUUUAAAAAAAUAGAUUUAUUAACAGUACAGUGAAGAUGGAUGUAAAAUAUAAUAGUUAGUAGUAUCAUUGAAGAAAUAGAAUAAUAUAUGGUAGCCAAUAAAAAUAAAUAUAAAUUAUGGUGUAGAAAUGGAUAAAAAAUCAUAGUUUCACAAUGUUCUUGAAAAAGAAAAAAAAUAUUUCAUGACAUAGCAAAUAAAAAUAAUAUUAAGACCCUGUUUGGUUCAUCUAUUUUAGACUUUGCAAUCGAGAUGGAAUUCACUGAUUUUGAUAAUUGUUAUUUGCUUUUCAAGAAUUAUAUUCCGAUUCCCAUUACACUCUGAAAUGACAAGUAUGAUCCAAUUCGUUUAUAAUCUAAUCUGAUUUGGAAUUCUGCAUUGGUCCAUUCCAGAGUAAAUCACUUAAAACUCUCACUCGAUCAUAAGUACCUUCCCUUUCUCUUUCUUUAUUACUCUCUCCUUUUUUAAUCAAAAGCUUCUCUCAAUAUCCUAACUGCUUCACUUAUUCCAAGUUUCAUUCCAAUAACAGACCCAGCAAUUGUGGGUGAAUCAUUAUUUCAUUUUUCAUUCUAGUAUAAUCUAAUUUUAGGGGCUCAUGAUUGAAAUUGCAAUGAAAAAUAGAAUUAGAUUUAUUAAAUGAAAAUUAGAAAAGCGAAUCAGCCAAAUAUGUUUGGUUCAAUAUUGAAAUAAAAAUUAGAAUGAAAUAUAUGAUUUCGAGAGAGUGUUUUGAUUAAAAGAGAGGCAAGUAACCAAGGAAGAGGAGGGAAAAAUAUUUGUGAGAGAAGUUUUAAGUGGUUUACUUCCAAAUGGAUCAAAUUUCGAAAUUCAAAAUCGAAUUGAGCGAUAAAUGGAUUGGAUCAACUCUCAUUCCGUAACAGAAUAAAAAUCGAAAUUUAUUUCCUAAUAAACA
rnacentral:lncRNA from 1 species